rnacentral:rRNA from 1 species
UACGUAGGGUGCAAGCGUUGUCCGGAAUUAUUGGGCGUAAAGAGCUCGUAGGCGGUCCGUCACGUCGGCUGUGAAAACCUGGGGCUCAACCCCGGGCCUGCAGCCGAUACGGGCGGACUAGAAUUCGGUAGGGGGAGACUGGAAUUCCUGGUGUAGCGGUGAAAUGCGCAGAUAUCAGGAGGAACACCGGUGGCGAAGGCGGGUCUCUGGGCCGAUAUUGACGCUGAGGAGCGAAAAGCGUGGGGGAGCGAACAGG